rnacentral:rRNA from 1 species
CCCUACGGGGUGCAGCAGGCGAGAAAACUUUGCAAUGUGCGAAAGCACGACAAGGUUAAUCCGAGUGGUUUCUGCUAAAGAAACCUUUUGUCAGUCCUAGAAACACUGAUGAAUAAGGGGUGGGCAAGUUCUGGUGUCAGCCGCCGCGGUAAAACCAGCACCUCAAGUGGUCAGGAUGAUUAUUGGGCCUAAAGCAUCCGUAGCCGGCUCUGUAAGUUUUCGGUUAAAUCUGUACGCUCAACGUACAGGCUGCCGGGAAUACUGCAGAGCUAGGGAGUGGGAGAGGUAGACGGUACUCGGUAGGAAGGGGUAAAAUCCUUUGAUCUAUUGAUGACCACCUGUGGCGAAGGCGGUCUACCAGAACACGUCCGACGGUGAGGGAUGAAAGCUGGGGGAGCAAACCGGAUUAGAUACCCGGGUAGUCCCAGCUGUAAACUAUGCAAACUCAGUGAUGCAUUGGCUUGUGGCCAAUGCAGUGCUGCAGGGAAGCCGUUAAGUUUGCCGCCUGGGAAGUACGUACGCAAGUAUGAAACUUAAAGGAAUUGGCGGGGGAGCACCACAAGGGGUGAAGCCUGCGGUUCAAUUGGAGUCAACGCCAGAAAUCUUACCCGGAGAGACAGCAGAAUGAAGGUCAAGCUGAAGACUUUACCAGACAAGCUGAGAGGUGGUGCAUGGCC